rnacentral:rRNA from 1 species
UACGUAGGGGGCUAGCGUUGUCCGGAAUCCUUGGGCGUAAAGCGCGUGUAGGCGGUCCGGUAAGUCCGCUGUGAAAGUCGGGGGCUCAACCCUCGAAUGCCGGUGGAUACUGUCGGGCUAGAGUGCGGAAGAGGCGAGUGGAAUUCCUGGUGUAGCGGUGAAAUGCGCAGAUAUCAGGAGGAACACCAAUUGCGAAGGCAGCUCGCUGGGACGUUACUGACGCUGAGACGCGAAAGCGUGGGGAGCAAACAGG